GGACGAACCCUUGGAGAGAUCCGUAAUUAAUAAAUAUGCGGACGCCGAAGGCGCAAAAGAGCGGUCGUUUUUCGAUCGUUUUUCAAACGCUCAGGCAAAAGGACAGGGGCAAAAAA
rnacentral:ncRNA from 1 species